rnacentral:rRNA from 1 species
AGUGAACGCUGGCGGUAGGCCUAACACAUGCAAGUCGAACGGCAGCACAGUAAGAGCUUGCUCUUACGGGUGGCGAGUGGCGGACGGGUGAGGAAUACAUCGGAAUCUACUUUUUCGUGGGGGAUAACGUAGGGAAACUUACGCUAAUACCGCAUACGACCUACGGGUGAAAGCAGGGGAUCUUCGGACCUUGCGCGAUUGAAUGAGCCGAUGUCGGAUUAGCUAGUUGGCGGGGUAAAGGCCCACCAAGGUGACGAUCCGUAGCUGGUCUGAGAGGAUGAUCAGCCACACUGGAACUGAGACACGGUCCAGACUCCUACGGGAGGCAGCAGUGGGGAAUAUUGGACAAUGGGCGCAAGCCUGAUCCAGCCAUACCGCGUGGGUGAAGAAGGCCUUCGGGUUGUAAAGCCCUUUUGUUGGGAAAGAAAAGCAGCAGGUUAAUACCCCGCUGUUCUGACGGUACCCAAAGAAUAAGCACCGACUAACUUCGUG